rnacentral:rRNA from 1 species
UACGUAGGGGGCAAGCGUUGUCCGGAAUCAUUGGGCGUAAAGAGCAUGUAGGCGGCCAGAUAAGUCCGCUGUGAAAUCUCGAGGCUCAACUUCGAGCUGUCGGUGGAAACUGUCUGGCUAGAGUCCGGAAGAGGAGAAUGGAAUUCCUGGUGUAGCGGUGAAAUGCGCAGAUAUCAGGAAGAACACCCGUGGCGAAGGCGGUUCUCUGGGACGGUACUGACGCUGAGACGCGAAAGCGUGGGGAGCGAACAGG